UACGGAGGAUGCGAGCGUUAUCCGGAUUUAUUGGGUUUAAAGGGUGCGUAGGCGGGUUAUCAAGUCAGCGGUAAAAUCGUGGAGCUCAACUCCAUCCAGCCGUUGAAACUGAUGAUCUUGAGUGGGCGAGAAGUAUGCGGAAUGCGUGGUGUAGCGGUGAAAUGCACAGAUAUCACGCAGAACUCCGAUUGCGAAGGCAGCAUACCGGCGCCCGACUGACGCUGAAGCACGAAAGCGUGGGUAUCGAACAGG
rnacentral:rRNA from 1 species